rnacentral:rRNA from 1 species
GAUGAACGCUGGCGGCGUGCCUAAUACAUGCAAGUCGAGCGAACAGAUAAGGAGCUUGCUCCUUUGACGUUAGCGGCGGACGGGUGAGUAACACGUGGGUAACCUACCUAUAAGACUGGGAUAACUUCGGGAAACCGGAGCUAAUACCGGAUAAUAUUUCGAACCGCAUGGUUCGAUAGUGAAAGAUGGUUUUGCUAUCACUUAUAGAUGGACCCGCGCCGUAUUAGCUAGUUGGUAAGGUAACGGCUUACCAAGGCGACGAUACGUAGCCGGCCUGAGAGGGGGAUCGGCCACACUGGAACUGAGACACGGUCCAGACUCCUACGGGAGGCAGCAGUAGGGAAUCUUCCGCAAUGGGCGAAAGCCUGACGGAGCAACGCCGCGUGAGUGAUGAAGGUCUUCGGAUCGUAAAACUCUGUUAUUAGGGAAGAACAUACGUGUAAGUAACUGUGCACGUCUUGACGGUACCUAAUCAGAAAGCCACGGCUAACUACGUG